CAAAUACUCCCUCCGUCCGGAAAUACUUGUCAUCAAAAUGGAUAAAAGGAAAUGUAUCUAGACAUAUUUUAGUUUUAGAUACAUCUCUUUUUAUCCAUUUUGAUGACAAGUAUUUUCGGACGGAGGGAGUAGGAA
rnacentral:pre_miRNA from 1 species